AGGAUCCCUGUCCUAGAGAAAUAUAGUAGCUUUCUGUUCACACUUUGCAAGUAAAAAGGGUGGAUCGUUCCACUACUGACAUAU
rnacentral:snoRNA from 1 species